UACGAAGGGGGCUAGCGUUGCUCGGAAUCACUGGGCGUAAAGCGCACGUAGGCGGAUUGUUAAGUCAGGGGUGAAAUCCUGGAGCUCAACUCCAGAACUGCCUUUGAUACUGGCGAUCUCGAGUCCGGGAGAGGUGAGUGGAACUGCGAGUGUAGAGGUGAAAUUCGUAGAUAUUCGCAAGAACACCAGUGGCGAAGGCGGCUCACUGGCCCGGUAUUGACGCUGAGGUGCGAAAGCGUGGGGAGCAAACAGG
rnacentral:rRNA from 1 species